UACGUAGGUGGCAAGCGUUGUCCGGAUUUACUGGGUGUAAAGGGCGUGUAGCCGGGCUGACAAGUCAGAUGUGAAAUUCCGGGGCUCAACCCCGGACCUGCAUUUGAAACUGUUGGUCUUGAGUAUCGGAGAGGCAGGCGGAAUUCCUAGUGUAGCGGUGAAAUGCGUAGAUAUUAGGAGGAACACCAGUGGCGAAGGCGGCCUGCUGGACGACAACUGACGGUGAGGCGCGAAAGCGUGGG
rnacentral:rRNA from 1 species